GCUGAACCCACAGAGAGACUGGCUGGCACGUGAGACCAGGGGAGCCGUCCAUCUCUAUGCCCUUGUGCUGGGGUUAUUGCUGGUGGCAUUAUCUUGGGAGAUUAUAGAACCUUCUGGAUGGGAUACAUGCUGGCAAAUUUCGGUCACCAGGGACAGGCCUCUCAGCGUUAUAACCCUGCUCUCUUUGCUUCGUCAUCUGCUGAGAGCUGAACAGGCUGUCUCCUAUGGUCCUGGCGUGGUGCUCUGAGGCAACUCAGCUGCAUGGCUUCUCAUACCACUGACUGUAUACCCUGCAAUUGUGGACCAAAGAAACCUCUCCUUUCUGAAGCUGCUUCUGUCAGUGAUGUGCAAAGGAGAAGCUGUAGAUCUGGAUUUCUACACGAACUCCCACAAUUUUCAAAAGGUGACAAGUGUAUAAAAACAUCAGAAACCAGCCAUGAGGCCAACAUCUAAACAACCACCCUGCUAUGACUGCUGUUCAACCUGUGUGCCAUCACACAUUCCCAGUUACAAAGCCUUGACCGAGGAUGAGGAUAUGUCCUGGCCAGGCGCUGCUGGAUGCUGUGAUGAAGAGAUGCCCCAAGGUUUAGUUUCUGGUCUGAAGGAAUUCAGAGCUUCUUGAGCUACAUGUAAAUACAUUUUAUAAAACUGUGCCAACCCCACAAAACUAUAUGGUCUUUAGAGGCCAGUCUCACUCACUGGAAUGUUCUCUGACAGACCGGUUCUUCCCCUGAUCACACUGGAUAAACGAGGCACUGGGGUACAAAUGCGGUCUUCAGAAUGCAGAGAUGACGCCUGCCAGCAUCAGCCUUUGGUGCAGAGAGAAUACGCACACGUGUGUAUAUUCUCAUCCAUGUAUACACGGAUGAGAACCAGAAGCAAACACAGAGAAAGCGACAACAUGUGGAGAGGAUUAUUUGGGUUUGCUAGCCAGCCAAGCCAGAAAGGGGGGUGGGGAGAACUCCAGAUGAGACCCUGUCUCAAGAGACUAAGGCAGAGAGUGAGGACAUUCCACAUCCUCCUCUGGCCUCCACACCCGUGGCAUAUUCAGAGAGCCACACGGAUGCAUACAUCACACACAUACAUGUGGACCACACACAUCAUAGCAGAAGAGAGCAAAGCAAACAGGCUGAUUGUAAGGGCUGAUCCUUGCCUCACCUUGUUUAUGAAUGUGCAAAGGACCUUUAUAUGUGUGCUUGGGUUUUGUGUGUAAACACAUGUGUUUGCUUAAUGGAGGUCCAGGGAACAGGGACUUUGUCUUCUUCUUUUCGAGUGUUUGCAUCUGGCAGUUUCAAAUAAAAAGUGUAUGGUGUGAUAAGGGUGUGAAGAGCAGGUUGGUAGCUGGGAUUCUGGGGUCAAAUAGCAUGGGUGCCUCUUUUACUUUAUUAACUAAUUAAUUUAGUUUUUUUAAAGAUUUAUUUAUUAUUUAUACAACA